rnacentral:lncRNA from 1 species
UGGCUCUGGCUGCCACUCUCCAAGUCCACUCUCCUGGUCAACACAGCCCAUUGAUUCCCUUUUCUCCUCUCUGGGUCCCAUUGUCACUUUAGGAUCUUCUUGGACAGAGGAUGGGAGGGAAAGGUCAGGAAGAGGUGGGCAGGGCUCUGGGGAGACAGGGAUAAACAAGACAGACACGUUUCCUGCUGUGGGGCAGCUUUCAGACUAAUGAGAGUAGAUAACAACAAACACACACACAAGAUCAUUUGAGGUCGAGUUGGGUCUCCUGAAGAAAAUAAACCAGAGUAAUGUGAGAGAAAGUGAUGAGUGAGAGAAAGAGUACUUUAAGUAAGCAGGCCAAGACAUGCCUUUCACCUUCUGCCAUGAUAGUGAGGCCUUCCAGCCACAUGGAACCGCAAUUCCUCUAAAGCUCCCUGGCCCUCCCAGACCCUUGUGGAGGCCAGCCUGGGGUGAGAACUCAGACCGGC